GUCCCUUCACAUGACCACGCGAGCGCUACGGGUCCAUUGCGGCGACUCGACCCGGAGGCUUCGCUACUCAACGGGCUGGGCCGGGCUGUCGCCUCCUGACUCUCCUGGGGGUGGGAGGGGGCCGCGCCACUGUGUACUGCAGAGGCUAAAAGGCAGCAGAUAGGGGAAGUUAGUUCUGUAAUUUGCACCUCUGGUAAAGGUUACCUGGCCACUCCAUUCUGUAUACACUCAGGUCUGAACUAGGAGAAGGGGACCUCUCCUCCCCGAUCAGGUGUUUGUUGUGGUCCCUCCCAAGGACAGGUUCGUGCCGUUGCAUAAAAAGCAGGACCGGGGAGCUGAGCCAGCUGAGAAGGAGGAAACUCCAGAACACAUAAGUUUCAAAAUACAAAUUAUUGAAAUUCAGUUUCCCAGAUGCUUCAAGGUAGACAAGAUAGCUCGAAAUAAGCCAGUUCUGAAGCACUCUGCAGAGAUCUGCCCGGGAGGAAAAGCAGAGCCAAGCACUGAGAACUGACAUAUGAGUUCAGGUGAGGACUGCUGCUCCCCCUGCCUUGGUGUGGGACCUCCUGAGCUCCCAUUCCUGUGCUGGGAGUGUUUCUCCUCUCAUCCAGCCAAGCCAGAGACCUCCUAGGGAACAAGCAGCUGUUUCUGUAUUCCUGACUUCCAUUUACAUCGGGGACAUGUGGCUUGGAGCACAGGAGCCGGAUAUGUCACUUACCCAUGUCAGAACAGGAAAAAAAGGCUGCAGAGCUUCCUACAAUGGGGUGUAAGUGCGAAGAACAAGGAGACAGAGGAAGACUGGACUCAGGAAUCUGGACGGUCUUCCUGGGUUUAAUAAGCUUGAAUGGCACUUCAAGACAUUUACAUCAGACUUGGUUUAUUUUUAUUAAAAACAAACCAACAAACAAAAAAAACCCCUGAUCCAUCGCUGCCACUGCCAUGUGCGACACAAACCCAUCUUCCCUCUGCCUGGAACAGAUGGUCCAUGCAUGUUAUGCUGAAACUAAAAAACAGGCCAACUGACCUGGUUCUUCACUCUGGUGGGAACUCAGGAAGUAGCACAGGGCUCUGUGAUGGAGCCUUGACCUUUUCCAUUUGAAGGUGUCGCCUGGAGAGCCUUCAGGAACGGCCGAGGAGUUGCUGCAGACCCCACGAUGACAGUGGUGGCCUCCGAGCAUGGCCAUAGCGUGCGGCCUGAGGAGCCGGGCAUUCUUAGGAGAGGGCGGAGCAAGGGACCACAGCCCGGUGACUGCGGGAAAUUCCGAGCAGGCAAGGUGGCCUUCCUUCACACUGGACUUGGAUUCUCAUCCCCAAUCUUCCAAGAGAUAAGUCGAGGGCUGCGACCCUACCCCCCUGCCCCACGGGGGAUGAAAGUGAGGUGCUGGUGUUACGAACGAACGAGGCCAGAUUUCAAAAAAGGAUGAAAAAGGCUCUCAUUUAUUUAAAAAAAAAAAAAAAAAACAGAAAGAACGGAGGGUCCAGGAUAGGCUUGGACCCCCUCACAACAGCUCAAAGUGACAACGUGUAUAGAACAUGCUGGGUUCUCUCCCUCACGAGCAGCUCUCUCUACUCCCGGACCAGAAAAGAACCCCGCCCAACUGAAAACCCCUCCCUUUAUAACACACCUUGCCCCAGGAUUGGUGCAAUUUGGAUCCUUGCCCUGAUUGGUGGAAUUUUGGGGCCCCAAUUGGCCCUUAACGGGGUUCAUUCUGGGCCAAUCGUUUCCUCAGGGCAUCGAAUGAUUGCUUGGUGUCUUUGUCCAAUCACCCUUCGCCCUGGUUUGCCCAUUUGCCCCCACCAAAUCCUGCACCAUCCACAUCAAACCCAUCCACAACAAACACCCUCUUUUCCCAAAACUAACAGAACCAAGUCCAUAACACUGGGAGGGCCUCUUGAGUGGCAGCUUUGGAGGCAGGGAUUUGCAAGAGGUGGCCCCUUAGGCCGCGUAAAGGAAAAGUCAAAGUCACACGGUGCCGAGGUGCUCAGGGCAGAGCAGUCCCAGUGCAUGUCACUUGUGUCCCUUGUCUAUCGUGCCUUGUGUGUCUUUUGUGCGUCUCGUGUCCUUUGCCUUAGUCCUUUGAGGGGCUUAUCUGAAACGCAGGUGUCCAUCUUUGCAACUCAGAUCUCUGUGUUCCUCGUCCCAGUGCCAAUUCCUUCAAACCCUUGACUCAGGGGCCUGGCCAGGCAUGGGCAUAGCAUCUUUCUUUAGAAUCAUCCAGUCAGAUGUCUUGUAAAGUCUUGUUCUGAGCUGUUCUCGACAGCUGUGCAUCACAGUGAUCCAUUCUAGCUGAUUAGGACUUGUACAAAUGCCAAGAUAGGUAGAGGAUUGUGACGGUAGCAUUCUCGAGCGCCCAUCUUUGUGAUGCUUGCGAUAAGUCCUUCGGUUAGCGUCGUGUUCCUUGAGGGUUCUCUGAGCCUCAUGGGCUCGCCAUCACUCUCACCCAGGUCAUCUCGUCCCACCUUCUUCUGGUCAUUGCUGGCAUUCUUCUCGUCGAGAGCUUUCUCUCCCUGUUGUGUCCCCUCAUUUGUCUUGUUCUGUGUUGCGGGUGUCUGGGUAUUUGGCCUGAAGCUGCUCUGCCCUGCUGCACAGCCUGGUGUAGGUGUAAUAGGACAAGUCCGGGGGCAUGGGGAUUUAUAAUGCAGAGUGUAGCUGGACUCUAGAUGGGAUUUGUAGAUUGACACAAGAUGUCUGGAACUCUUAAGUUAUUCUGCAGCACUCUGACUUUUGUCCUCCCAUUCUUUCAGGUGCUGCCAGAUGAAAUCCAUGGCAGAGAGCCCCGUACCAGAUAAAAUCUGCCUCCAGUACCAGCUCAGGCUGCUUUGACAGUGCCAAGUGCUUCCUGCAAACUGCCCUGAGGAACCCAGGUUGGUGAGUUUUGUUUCCCAGGGUAAUGGACCCACCUUGGUGUUCAGGGGCCUGUGGCCCUGAGUGGGCGGCCACCUCCAGAAAGCCUGCAUGGCACAGGAUGCCUCCCAGACCCAACCCACCGCCACCUGGAACUCAAGGUGCUUUGACAGUCCCAAUUGCCUACUGCAAAAUGACAUCAGGAGCCUGGGCUGAAUUCCUCCUAGACCGAGCCUGCCACCACUGGGAACUUCUGCUGCUGUGACAGUCCCAAGCACCUUCUGCAAACUGACAUCAAGGAACUUGGGCUGCUGAGUUUUUUUUUCCCUGAGAAAAGGACCUGGUGUUCAGGGGUCUGUGACCCUGAGUGGGCGGCCACCUCUUGAAAUUCCACAUGCCGCAGGAUGCCUCCCAGAUCCAACUUGUCACCACCAGGAACCUGGGCUGUUUUGACAGUCCUAAAUGCUUUCUGAAAACUGACUUCAGGUACCUAGGCAGGUGUCACCCGGGUAGCCUUCGGCAACAGCUGAGGGGUUGCGGCGUACCCUGUGACGACGGCAUCAGCCUCUGAGCGCAACCGAAGCGUGCAGCCCGAGGAGCCGGGCAUUCUUAGGAGACUGUCAGCUAAGAAACAACAGGAAGUUGUUGAACCACAGUGCUAGCAGGAACUUCCCAGAUGUUGAGGCCACCUUCUUUUGCACCUGACACGGAACGGCAACCCCAGAUGUCUGAGAGAUUCAAAAGGAAUAAAUCUGUGCCAGAGGGCCCCAUCCCAGGAAGUCAAGGCAGAGAGCAGCAGUCAAGGCUAAGUGGGCAAGGCAAUCGAUUCAGCAUAUGUCCAGCCCCCAUCACCAACCGGCCGAUGCACCGGGUUUCCUGUAAAUGUGAGCCCUGUGGGAGUAUUACAGGACUCUGUGAUGAUGAAGCCUUCAAAUUUUCUAUUUCAUGGUCCCAUCCUGGUAGCCCUCAGAAAUGGCCCAGGACUUGCGCCCAGGUGCACCCUGCAGCAAUGGCCACAGCCUCCGAGCAAGUCUGAAGCAUGAGGCCCGAGGAGCUGGGCAUUCUUAGGAGAAGGAAUAAGAGACAAUAGCCUGGUGUCAGUAGUGACUUCCCAGAAAGCACGUCCACUUUCUUUCGCACCCGGCACAGACCAGCACGCCCACCUGUCAAGAGAUAAGUAGAGGGCUAAGACCCCCAGUGUGGAGAGUUUUGUGGAGAUGUGGCUUGAAGAGAAGGGACAUGAUAAAAUACAGCUGGUAAAGCAGUAGGCCUUGAGCAGAAGGCCUUGGGCAAGGCCACAGUAUCCUUGAGCAAGAAGUUAUACGAUAACGGGAUGCAGAAGCAGAAACUAGCUAGUGGGGGGAGAAAACAUAGGCAUCCUGAGUAUGUGGCAACAAAGGUGGAGCUGACCUUUUAUAGUGAACCAAUAAUGAGCUUUAGUUUUGCAAUAUGUAUGAGCCUUAUUAUCAUUGUUAUAAGAGCACGCAUGUUAAAUCAAUAAACUGAGACUUGUUGAUCAUCAUUGGAUGUGCUUGUCUCCCAUCGACUCUGUCACCCCUGAGGGGAUGAAAGUGGGGUCCGGGUCGCGACCCACUGGGAGGGGAUUUUGUUUCGGCUUUGGAGAUGGGUAUGUCCAAGAAGUGGCCCCUUAGGCCCUGUAAAGGGAAAGCGUUACUUUUGAUCACAGUGCUGAGGUGCGCAGGGCAGAGCAGUCCUGGUGUGUAUCCUGUUACUUGUCUAUCUUGCAUUUUUUGUUGUUUGUGUAUCUCCUGUCUUUCAUUUUAGCCCUUUGGUGCCAAGGUUUCUGACUGGCCCCUCAUUCUUAGCAUCUGUGAUCUCAGUGUUCCUUGCCCUGGCACCCAUGCCAUUGAAAUUUGGACUCGGGAGCUCAGACAGGUAUCAGCAUUGCAUCUUUUUACAAGCAUCCAGUCAGAUGUCUUCUCAGGUCUUGUUCUGAGCUGUAUGGACAGCCCCGCCCCACAAGGAUCUGUUAUGACUCAUUAGGCCUUGUGAGAAUGUGAGGUUAGGGAGAGGAUUCUGACCGUAGGAUUCCCAGGCAUCCAUCUUUGCAGUUCUUGGAUUAAAUCAUUCAGUUAGCAUCUUCUUCCUCCAGGGUUCUCUGAGCCUCAUCAGCUCAUCAUCGGUCUCACCUUGGUCAUCUCAUUUUGCAUUCUUUCAGUCCUUGCAGUCAUUUUCCUUGCCAAGAAAUUCCUAUCCAUGUUGCGUGCUCAUUGUUUAUCACAUCCUGUCCCAUGUCACGGGUGUGCGCACACAUUUGUGCCAGAGCUGCUCUGCCCUGCCGCAUAGCCUGGUGCAAUAGGAGAAGUCCCGGGGACUUGAAGUUUGUACUGUGGGGCGUAGUUGGACUCUAGAUGGGGUUUGUAGAUGGACACAAGAUAUCUGGUGCUCUUAAGUUAUCCUGCAGCCCUUUGACUUUUGUCCUAACUUUUUUUUCAGAUGCAGAAGGAUAAAAUCCAUGGCAGAACACCCCAUCCUGGGUGAGGCAUUUUCCCCUGAGCAGUUCUGUCACUGUUUGUGUCUGCAGAGGAAGCAUAAAUAGUGGCUGUUACAGCUCUGUUCUUUGCCUUUCUUUUUAGGAAGUCAAGGCUGAGUGGGCAAGGUGUGAGCAUUGAGUAGAGUACAGAAGCAGUUGUUAUUGCUGAGGUCUCAGUUUCUGGGGCGGCUCUAAGCAUCUACAAUUUUUUUUUUUUUUUAGGUGAUCCACUUGCAAUUUCUCCUGGCCGAGCAUGCCCAUGCCAGCUGGGUGCAAGCUUAAGGUAUCAGUGUGGCAUACUUUUCAGAUUAGGGAGGUUGUGUUUUCACAGUAUCUCAGCAUGCUUUUCUGCUUUGUUUCUUUGCAGGUGCUUUUGCCGCUCUAGGCAUGCCAAGGAACAGACCAGAGCAGGGGAGUCUGUGUUUAGGCAGGGUGACUCAUAGUUGAGUUUUAUGCAGCAGCAUGCUAAGCGUGUACCUUUUCUUUUUACAGGUAUCUUCUGGGCAGCCUCUGGAAGCAAAUCAAGAUUUGAGGUACCCUGUGGAGGUUUGUAGCCAAAGUUUGGAAACGGCAGCACCGAAGCACACGUGGAGAACGUCUCGACGUCCACAUCCAACCGAUGACGGAUUUUGUCCACUCAUUUUCCAAAAGCUAAGUGUCGGGGCCAGUAGUUGGGAGAAGGGGAAAAACCUUUACUAUCACAGGGGGCAAUUUGAUGUCAGCUUAGCGGAGAGGUCUGUAGUGGGACAGGCUCUCUGGAAGUAAAGGGAGAGGGUUUCUUCUCAGCCUCACCAGAGCCUUUGCCGGGCAGGGCAGUUCUGACCCAUCUCCCCAUUCUCGUGAACUUUGCGUCAUCAGCCUUCUUCGACUCGAUAUUGUCAUGGAUCUUUCACCCGAGGAACUCACCUUCAGGUCCGGAGCUACGGCCUCGGUCAACUGGCAGUCUCUGCUUCCUUCUCUAGGCCUAUGGAGCCUCUCGAGCAUCUUCUUAACUGCUUUGGCACUAACUUCUUUUAACGAGUUACAUUUCAUCAUCACGUGCUAUUGUCAUAGGGCUUUCUUUCCUUUGGCAUCAUCAGCCCCUGGCUCAUCUUGUGCUAGGAAUCUCGGGUCCAUAAGGUUAAAGUGCCAGGCGGUUUCCACUUGUCUCUGUGUUAUGUCAUCUGUGUCUAUGUUAUGUCGUCCGUGUCUGUGUUAUGUAGUCUGUGUCCACUGUCUUCCAUGUCAUAGGCCUUUGUUCCAUCUUGACGCUUUAUGGGCACUAUUUUGUGCCAUAUUGGCCAUAUUUUACUCACGUUCCUUCACUUACUCCAGCAUCUUUACAUCCUUACUCUUUGAGACAGGAAGGAUUACACAAGAUGUUCUCAUCCAUCUUCCUUCUCACUACCAGCUUUGGUAGUGCCUUUUUUUCCAUGCCAUUCUCUUGGACUUCUAGAGGGAGUGUCUUACAGCCUCCUCAUGUGGCUGCAGUAGUUCUGUAGGUUCCAUCUUCUCAAAGGGUAUAGGGCUCAAGAAUUAAUCUUCCAGAGAGUUAUCUCAAGUCCUGGCUUAUACUAUAUCUACCUGUGUUGGCUUAUAUUGUAUGUACUUACACUGUAUGGAAGUGCCUUGCCUUAUAUUGUGUGUACUUACACUAUAUGUACACUUGCACUGUAUGCGUCGGCUUAUAUCGUGUGUACUUAUAUUGUACCUUUUAUGAUUGAAGCUGCCCUGCCCUGGCACGUAGUCACAGCUAGGUAGAACAGUUACAAAAACUUUACUGUUCAUCUGUCUUCUAUGGGAUUUUGGGUAGAAAAUUUAUUGGUCCAGAGUGGGGACAAGUCCUAGCCGUCAGCCACUUGUUGACCACUUCCUCUUGUCUUACAGGCCUCCGAGGCUACUGAUUUCCCCAGAAUCUACCAAUUUGACGUCAAGGAGCAGCAGCCAGAAGAUGCGUCGAAGCAUGUUCUCCAGUGUUUCAAGCGCCAUGAGAUGCAGAAAUCGGAGAAACAUAACUAUCCGAAGAUGAGCGCCAGUUUAGGCUCCAAGUUUCAAAGAUCUCAAUGAAUUUCUAGGGCAAGAUCCGGGGAUGUUUUCUGUGCUGACAUAAUUUCUCCUGGCCAGAAAUUGUGGAAAAGCUUUCGCGAAGAUGCAGGCGACAGGACACGCAGAAAACGGAGAUACGGAGCUCUCCGAAGGUAAGCCCUUGUCUUGGGCGUCUUUCGGCAGAAGGCGCUCUCUGGAGCACUCUGGGACCGGCACAAUGCUCAGUGCGCGAAGAAGCCGCCUCUUCGCCGCCUGGAUUGCUGGAUGAACAACCACAAGCUUAAGACCUCAUUGCCCCAUUUAUGCUGAGGUUUGGGCUCUCCCGCAGGAUUAAUAGCGCCGUUCUUUCUCUAGGUGUUGCUGCUUGUCAAGCUUUGGCUACUUUUAAUAAGUUGGGAGGCUGAAUGGUCAAACAACUAAACUUAACAUGAGCUAUUUUCAUCAGAUGCUCACUGACAUAGAUAGUGUUAAAAAUGUCACACAGCAAAAUAGUGCUGCUUUAGAUUUUUUGUUGUUAGGACAUAUGCACGAGUGGGAGGAAUUUGAAGGAAUGUAUUUAUGAACCUCUCUGACCAUUCUGCAGCCAAACUCAAACAAUGACGAGAUAAUAUGAAGAAAUUGACUGAGAAUGAGUGUGGUUUGCAUGAAUGUUUUGUGGGAUGGGAAAGAAAUGGAUGGUUGAAAGAUCUUGUAAAGGGAGCAUUGUUAUUACUAGUAGUCGUUAUUAUAUUGCUUUGUGGUAUUCCAUGCAUCAUGACAUUGGUGAGCCUCUUGGUUGAAAAUAUGGUGGAAAGGGUCUGGUUGGUGCAAGAAGAAGGGGGAAUUGUAGGAAUGUAUCUCAACCACUUAGACUACAAGGUGCACCAACCAUCCAGCUCGGAAUUGUUGUUAUCAGAAUUUUCUCAGGGCCCUCUGGAAUUCAUCAAGGUUACUAAGACAUAAGCCGUGCUAGAAUAAAAAAGGAGAAGGUGUGAAAUCAAAUUCCAAGACUGCAAGAACUUGAUAACGGGGGGCGGCAAAGCACCUGAACUGUAAGCAAACACAUCUUCUGAGAGGUGCAGGCAGAAUGCGUGUACAAAUGAGUGUGCAGAAAGUUAGGAUGUGUAAAUGCAUGAUGUAAACAAUAAAUGGCUUCUGCUUAGUCCUCUU